UGGGGAAUAUUGCACAAUGGGGGGAACCCUGAUGCAGCAACGCCGCGUGAAGGAAGAAGUAUUUCGGUAUGUAAACUUCUAUCGACAGGGAAGAAAGAGAUGACGGUACCUGAAUAAGAAGCACCGGCUAAAUACGUGCCAGCAGCCGCGGUAAUACGUAUGGUGCAAGCGUUAUCCGGAUUUACUGGGUGUAAAGGGUGAGUAGGCGGUUAUGCAAGUCAUAUGUGAAAUUCUGGGGCUCAACUCCAGAGCUGCAUAAGAAACUGUGUAACUAGAGUACAGGAGAGGUAAGCGGAAUUCCUAGUGUAGCGGUGAAAUGCGUAGAUAUUAGGAAGAACACCGGUGGCGAAGGCGGCUUACUGGACUGAAACUGACGCUGAGUCACGAAAGCGUGGGGAGCGAACA
rnacentral:rRNA from 1 species